ensembl:lncRNA LINC00208 long intergenic non-protein coding RNA 208
UGGGCACUGUCCUCAUGGAAACCAAGCACCUCAAACCCAGUUGGCCCCAGUGCCAGGAACCGAGCACUAUUGUCAUGUAGACCAAGCACCUCGAACCCAGCCGGCCCCAGCGUUAGGAACCGGGUACUGUCGUCAUCAGCAUCAGGGUCAACCUCUGGACCCUGGCUUCCUCAGCAUUAACAGGAAAGGUUAGAAGCCCUGUUAGGUCUCUUCCAACUUUGUCUAUAACUCUGAAAAAGCAACGUGGAGUUUCUCUGGCACACUCUUUGAGGAAAUAGAAUUCGCCAAACCAAUGCAAAUGGAGAAAUAUAUUUCACCUGAGUAGGGAAGAAAAACCUUGUAAAGGCUUCCAAGAACCUCCAGAAACCUACUGGAUGUGCUUACCACUAAUCUCUUUUAAAGCAAUUCCCUGACAACACUCUGUUAAUCUCUCUUGAGCUCCUUAGUACCCCCUGAAAGUAGCAGGACAGCCUUACUUUCCAAAUCUUCACCUUUGCAAGAGUCUAGUCUGUGAGUCCAGGCUCACCUGAAGUCUGAGAUUUUGGGAGCUUUGGAGAAUUCUGGAUAAAAUCCCUUACUGGACUUAGCAGGAAUCUCCGAUCUGUGGAGAAGUCUCCUCGGUUUUCAGAGACUGAGCAUCUGUUCCUAGCUCCCUCCGGGCUCUGAUGCCAUUAAUGACUGCAGGAAGCUGUUCCAGGCCUCAAUACAGAAAGAACCCUUAGACCCUCAGAGCUGGAGGUGUGCAGACUGGUCUCUGCCUGGGCUCAACCUCUGUGAUUUCUGGCAAGUUACUGAAAUUCUCUGUGCCUCAGGUUUCUUUUAUGAAAAUUAUAACAGUUUUAUCUCCUAGGGUUAUGGUGAAUACCUAGGGCAGGACCGGGCACUUAGAAAGCUCUCAUCCAAUGUCCCCUAACUCUUGGAGACAAUAAUCAAGACUUAGAGGAACUGACUGGGGGAAACGUCAACACUUUCUUGGUUCUCUCAGAGGCCGGUGGAGACGGUGCUCCAUUCUGCCUGGAUCAUUUCCCAGGGCAGUAUGAGACAGGCCUUCAUCAGAAAGGCCGGGCCUGUGGAUGGAGGCAGCGGGCUGAUGGAAAUGACCUCUGUGCAGCUAAGGAUGCUAUGCUUUGUUUCUUGAGCUGAACUGCAAUUGUGCCCAGCCUUCCUGGGACAAGGGUGGGAACUCAGGAGUUACUACAACCACCGCCACCCCACCCUGGGAAGGCCAUUUGUGGUCUUGGACAAGUUCCCUCCCACGUGGCUGGACGAGCCCUCAGGCGACAGCUGCGUUCUGUCGAGGAAGCCACCCAUGUAGAUGCCUGGAGAGAGCUGGCAUGUCACUUGCAGCUGAGUCCCCUGGGUCCGAGGCGGUGCCUGGCACACGAGCAGACUCAGCUCUGAUGCCCCAAGUUGCAGAGACCUUGAGGAGUCAUGUUGUUCAUCGUCCUCCCUCAGGAAUAAAUGUAGCAGACAAUCAGUGUCUGUGCUUUUUAAAUCCC